CUUAUACUCCCACGGUCCCCAAAUUCUUUUCUUCGAUUUUUCUAAAUGCAAAUGUAUCUAGUUACAUUUCAGUGUUAGAUACAUCCGUAUCUAGACAAAUGUAAGACAAGAAUUUUGGGACGGAGGGAGUAUUUA
rfam:Triticum aestivum genome assembly, contig: Triticum_aestivum_CS42_TGACv1_scaffold_576885_7BL